rnacentral:rRNA from 1 species
AUACGGAGGAUCCGAGCGUUAUCCGGAUUUAUUGGGUUUAAAGGGAGCGUAGGCGGACGCUUAAGUCAGCUGUGAAAGUUUGGGGCUCAACCUUAAAAUUGCAGUUGAUACUGGUUUCCUUGAGUACAGUAGAGGUGGGCGGAAUUCGUGGUGUAGCGGUGAAAUGCUUAGAUAUCACGAAGAACUCCGAUUGCGAAGGCAGCUCACUGGACUGCAACUGACACUGAUGCUCGAAAGUGUGGGUAUCAAACAGGAUUAGAUACCCUGGUAGUCCACACAGUAAACGAUGAAUACUCGCUGUUUGCGAUAUACAGUAAGCGGCCAAGCGAAAGCAUUAAGUAUUCCACCUGGGGAGUACGCCGGCAACGGUGAAACUCAAAGGAAUUGGCGGGG